UACGUAGGGUGCAAGCGUUGUCCGGAUUUAUUGGGCGUAAAGGGCUCGUAGGCGGCCAACUAAGUCAUACGUGAAAUCCCUCGGCUUAACCGGGGAACUGCGUCUGAUACUGGAUGGCUUGAGUUCGGGAGAGGGAUGCGGAAUUCCAGGUGUAGCGGUGAAAUGCGUAGAUAUCUGGAGGAACACCGGUGGCGAAGGCGGCAUCCUGGACCGAUACUGACGCUGAGGAGCGAAAGCCAGGGGAGCAAACGGG
rnacentral:rRNA from 1 species